rnacentral:rRNA from 1 species
AUGAUCUAUGUGUCAAUCAUCUCACUCUCAAUCUCUCAUCACCUAGCACAGCACACGCACAUGCACGCACAACCCCAGCCCCAGCGCGCUGAUGUGGCUCCUGCACCACCAGUCCACCACCGUGCCGGCCAUGACACCAUCGCCCCGCCUCGGGCCGCACUCCCGCCGGCCCGUCCCACCGCCGUUCACCAUCCCCCGGUUGUGCCUCCUCCAAUGGCGGUCAAGCCUGCGCUGGCCGCCACAUCCCCUCAAUUUCUUUGCACCCAGGUGAUCCUUUCUCUCUCGCUCGCGUUCUCAGGUACACACAGUACAGAGAACGCGACAUGGGCUAGAGAUAGCAGAGAAAAGGACGGGCUGGGAGAAGCGGUGCGACGCCGGCGCUAA